GCUGCGUUAGCUCAACCGGCAGAGCAUCCGGCUCAUAACCGGGUCGUUGCAGGUUCAAUUCCUGCACGCGGCA
rnacentral:tRNA from 1 species